ACGCCUAAUACAUGCAAGUCGAACGAAGUAGCAAUACUUAGUGGCAGACGGGUGAGUAACAUGUAGGUAUCUACCCUUUGGCCUGGAAUAACACGAGGAAACUUGUGCUAAUACCGGAUAAGUCUUUACGGAGAAAGCUUUAUGCACCAUUGGAUGAGCCUGCACUUGAUUAGUUUGUUGGUGGGGUAAUGGCCUACCAAGACAAUGAUCAAUAGCUGAUUUGAGAGGAUGAUCAGCCACAUUGGGACUGAGACACGGCCCAAACUCCUACGGGAGGCAGCAGUAGGGAAUCUUGCACAAUGGAGGAAACUCUGAUGCAGCGAUGCCGCGUGAGUGAAGAAGGCCCUUGGGUUGUAAAGCUCUUUCGUCGGGGAAGAAAAUGACUGUACCCGAAUAAGAAGGUCCGGCUAACUUCGUGCCAGCAGCCGCGGUAAUACGAAGGGACCUAGCGUAGUUCGGAAUUACUGGGCUUAAAGAGUUCGUAGGUGGUUAAAAAAGUUGGUGGUGAAAUCCCAGAGCUUAACUCUGGAACUGCCAUCAAAACUUUUUAGCUAGAGUAUGAUAGAGGAAAGCAGAAUUUCUAGUGUAGAGGUGAAAUUCGUAGAUAUUAGAAAGAAUACCGAUUGCGAAGGCAGCUUUCUGGAUCAUUACUGACACUGAGGAACGAAAGCAUGGGUAGCGAAGAGGAUUAGAUACCCUCGUAGUCCAUGCCGUAAACGAUGUGUGUUAGACGUUGGAAAUUUAUUUUCAGUGUCGCAGCGAAAGCGAUAAACACACCGCCUGGGGAGUACGACCGC
rnacentral:rRNA from 1 species